rnacentral:lncRNA from 14 species
AUUACAAUUGCAGUUGUGAAGUAGCAACAGAAUAAUAAUUCUAUGGUUGGAUGGCCACAACAGAAGGAGCUGUAUUAAAAGCUCUUAGUAUUAGGAAGGUAGGGAGCCACUCAUUGCUUUAAGCUUUGGUCUAGAUCAGUAGUUUUGUCUUGUUUUGUUUUGUUUUUUUACUGGAGGUGACUUUGCCCUCUAGGACAUUUGGCAAUAUCUGGAGACAUUUGACCAUCGUGACUCGGGAUGGUGGUGUAGAGUGCCAUUGGCUCUGAGUACACAGAACCCUCAGUGCACAAAACAGUCACAUGAAAAAGGCCUAUCAUCUCCAAGAUGCAAGUUCUACCGGGGCUAAGAAACCCUUCUGGCCUCGAUGAGCUUUCUGGCGUCAGCCUGCGGUAGUUUGGCUGAGUCGGUGAGGGCAGGAGGAGAGCUGUGUGGUGGUGACUGGAGUAGAAGCCAGUGAACAUAGAGAUAAUAAGCCUCUUUUCUUUAAUGCUUUGGAUGAGGGGUGGGCCAAAUGAUCCAGGAACAGUGGAGCUCAUCUUCUGUCUAAAUAUGCUUAGGUGACUUUCAGAGCCAGUGGAAGCAUCUCAUUGUGGCCCCCCACAUGGUUCUGAUGUGAUUUUCCUGAAGAAAUCCUUUGAGUUCUUGUUUGGACGGUGCCUGCCUUUCUUGUCACUUCAUUGCAGUUGCUUUGUCCCUCAGGUUUAUUCUCUCUCUGGCAUCUUGUAAGAAGUGUCUGGUCAUUGAUGACCAACUCAAUAUCCUGCCCAUCUCCUCCCAUGUGGCCAGCAUUGAAGCCUUACCUCCUCAGGCCCCCGAUGAGAAUCUCAGUCCUGCUGCUCUGGAGCUGCAGGAGUUGAAAGAGAGCUUGCAGGACACUCAGCCCGUGGGUGUUUUGGUGGACUGCUGCAAGACCCUGGACCAGGUACACAUGGGUGUGUUCAGGUCUUCCCUACCCUGAUGCUGAUGGCACAAGGGUAAGACAGUAAGCAACACAGACGGUGUUAGGAUGUAUGAGCUCUGCAGUAUCCAGGCUGUGCUGUGUAGAACCGCAGAAAACCAACCAGUGAGCUGAAGUGCAGAGAGGGAUUGUAUUUAAAGAGGGACUUUCUUUCCAUAGAGGAUAUAGUUUUUGUUCUUUAAUAUCGAUUGUUUGUAUUGUUCUCUCUCUCUCUCUAUCUAUCUAUCUAUCUCUCGCUCUCGCUCUCCUCUCCCUCUUUCCCUCCCUCCCUCUGCC